GCGAACGCUGGCGGCAGGCUUAACACAUGCAAGUCGAACGGGCGUAGCAAUACGUCAGUGGCAGACGGGUGAGUAACGCGUGGGAACGUGCCUUUUGGUUCGGAACAACUGAGGGAAACUUCAGCUAAUACCGGAUAAGCCCUUACGAGGAAAGAUUUAUCGCCAAAAGAUCGGCCCGCGUCUGAUUAGCUAGUUGGUGAGGUAAUGGCUCACCAAGGCGACGAUCAGUAGUUGGCUGAGAGGAUGAUCAGCCACACUGGGACUGAGACACGGCCCAGACUCCUACGGGAGGCAGCAGUGGGGAAUAUUGGACAAUGGGCGCAAGCCUGAUCCAGCCAUGCCGCGUGAGUGAUGAAGGCC
rnacentral:rRNA from 1 species